rnacentral:rRNA from 1 species
UGGCUGGCUGGCUGAAGAGAGUUUGCGUUGGAAUGGAGAAUCUUAGAAGGAGAGGAAGAAAGUGAGGAAGAACCCGAAACCUAGUGAUCAACUCCAACCUAGCUUGAGGUAGACUUUAUCGAACGCGGAGGAGCACACCGUUAAAUGUUGCAAAAUUUUCGGAUAAGGGUGGAGUAGCAAUGAAAUUUUAAUCGUACUGGGACAUAGCUGGUUUUCCGUGAAAGCUAUUUAAGUAACGUGUCUCAUAUGAGGACUUUAAAUAGAGAGCAGAACCAAGGAGAGAAUGGGGAUGGAAUGGAAAGGACGUAUGAACGUAAGAGAAUCUCGAUGUAAACGGGAAGAGAAUCCUUUAAACCAUGGAAAUAAAUCAUUUGAGUACAUGGACUCGUUAGAUAGG